rnacentral:ncRNA from 1 species
CUCCUCCGGCUGAUUGGAGCCGGGGAAGGACCGUUGGGGUCAACUGC